GCCAGUGCACAAUAUCCUGCCAAUGUGCCUCAGAAGGUUGAUAAGCAUUUUUUCUUCACUGUUGGUCUCGGAACCAGCCCAUGCCAGCAUAACCAAACCUGCCAAGGACCUAAUGGAACCAAGUUCGCCGCUUCAGUGAAUAAUGUAUCGUUUGCAAUGCCGACUUCAGCAUUACUCCAGGCUCAUUUCUUCGGUCAAUCUAACGGAGUUUACACCCCUGAUUUUCCUAGCACUCCUUUAACUCCAUUUAACUAUACAGGCUCACCACCUAACAAUACUAUGGUAAGCAACGGAACAAAGGUAGUAGUGCUUCCUUUUAACACUUCCGUGGAGCUAGUUAUGCAGGACACGAGCAUUCUUGGAGCCGAAAGCCACCCGCUUCAUCUACAUGGCUUCAAUUUCUUCAUCGUCGGCCAAGGUUUUGGCAACUUUGAUCCAAAUAAGGACCCUGCAAAGUUCAAUCUGAUUGACCCCGUUGAAAGGAACACUGUUGGUGUGCCAUCAGGAGGUUGGGUUGCAAUUCGUUUUCUAGCUGACAAUCCAGGUAAGUGACAUGUUAAACACCAAUUAGAUUCAUCAAAUGCUUGCUUUGAGUUGAUGAUGACCACUGACAACAAGAACCACAUGCAUGCAGGGGUAUGGUUCAUGCAUUGCCAUCUAGAAGUGCACACCAGCUGGGGCUUGAAGAUGGCUUGGAUUGUCUUGGAUGGUGAACUUCCUACUCAGAAAUUGUUGCCUCCACCAGCAGAUCUUCCUAAAUGUUGAUCGAUAUGACACUUUUAUUUUGACCAAAAAGCUGCCUCAACUUUUUGCUUUAAUUUCUACCAUUUUGAUUUAGUGACUAUUUUUUUUCUUUUUGGCAUUGGCCUAUCAAUGGUCCAAAUUUGUUUUCUUGAUUCUCGAGGACUUAAACAAGUAAGCGAGCAAUUUAUUUUGAAAUAAGAUCUGCAAUUGUCAAUACAAAGAAAUCACAAUAACAUACUGGCAAUCCUUUUGUUAAUUCAAUCUUAGCCUAUGAAGCAUAUCUACAAUUUUCAACUCUUUCACAGUAAAUUUAUUGCUUUUUUUUUUCAUUAAAAUACCAUUGCCCUUAUUAAUCAGCUCAAACUGAAUCAUACCAACUUAGCUAGUUAACUAUAACCAUCUCUCAGAAGCUUCGUUAAUAAUAAUAGGAUCUAGUCUCAUAUAAAGACCCACUUUACUAUAGAAUUUGUUAGUGUUCAUUAAAGCUUUCAACUUGACUGAAGUUGUAUAACUCUCUCUUAACUUUGCAUGAAAAAUUCACAUUGCAAGGACUUUAAUGUCGGCUGUAUCUUAUCAUGAAAGGUCAAUAUUGAAAAUUUGAACUUCGUGGUGAGGUGUGCUGGAAGCUGUGAGUAUACACAAACAUGCAAAUACAGAAAGAAUGAAAAUUCUGAAGAUAGAAAGUUACAAUUUUUAAAUAUAGAAAAUUGUUAUUGUAAUUCCAAAUUAACGUAGGAUUUUUAGUGAGUUAGGCAAGGUGUUUUGAGCUAUAAGACUUUUCUCUCAAAGAAAAUUAGCAAAUCCACGAGCUUCCACCUCUAUCCGAUCUCACAAUUUUAUUUGUUUCUCUCACUUAUAAUCCUUAUUUACUAAGACAUGCAAUCCAAGAAGAUAUGUGUUAACAUUAUCCUUAUAACACCCAUAAUCAAUUCGGUCGUUGGGUCUGAGCUACGAGAUAUUACAAUUACUGAAUGAGUAAAUUUAAAUCAUUAUGCAACAUUCAAUCUUGAGCAUUUAUAACGUAAAAGUCUUCAUAAAUCAGUCUUUCAAUUGCUCCAAAACUCUAUUAAAUAAAUAUGAUAUUUAUCUCUAAAAAAUAACAUUUUAAUCACUAAAAGAUAAUAAAAUUUUCAUAUCUAAUCACUUUAAGCAAUUCAGUUGAGAGUUUUAGCACGCUUCUCCCCAACCUUUAAAUAAGAGAAUAAUAACUUUCAGCGCACUUAAACCCACGUUUUCCUGCACUAGCACAAUAUCUAUGUCAAUCGAGCUAAGACUCAAUCGACAGGUCUUUUAGGAUUUUUAAAUAAAUUAGAAAAAAAAUUAAGUCAAAUUAAAUCAAAAUCAAAAGGUUUUUUUUAUUUUUAGAUUUUGAUACAUAUCAAUCUUUUUUGUAAUUUUGCAUUGUAUUUCAAUGAUUUUUCUUCACUUAUUAAUUGUACUUUAGAAUAAAUAGAUAAAAUAUAUUUUUAUUAAGUAUUUAUUAUUUUUGGAAUUUUCCAUCAAGAUUAUAUAAUAUAAGCCAAAAUUGUAUAUUUUAAUAGAGAAUGAUAAUUACAUUUAAAAGUUAUAACUAAAACAAAAAUAAUAUUAUUAUUUUUAUUAACUUUUCAAAAAUAUUGUACUUAAUUUAAGUUCGGAUCACUUCAAGUUAUUUGUUUUGAUUAUUUCGAAUUCAAGUUGGAUGGGCUCAAGUUGUUGACUUCUCAUGAUAAAGUCCAGUUGAUCAAGUCAAAUUUUCAAAUUUAAGUCAAAAUUGAUAGAUAUAUGUCAUUAGUAUAUUAAUCUUAUGUAAAUAGUAAUUCAUUUGUAAUUAGAAGAAAUAAUAAAUUAAAAUAAUAUUUAUAAUUUUAUUUGAUGGGACAAUUUUUUUUCACUUUUGGUAAAUGGGUGGAAAAAUAUUGUUUCUGGAUAUAGCCAUGGGGAAUACGUUGGGGUGGGUAUGUUUAAUCUUUGCCUUUUUGUGGGAGAAAGAGAGAGUGGUUGGCAUGUAAAAGUCUAAUUCAGUAAUUGACACAAUUAAGCAGUUUGUAUAUUUGACUCAAGCUAAUCUUCAGUUUCUAUAUAUAUCCCUUAAGAAAGAAGUUUAAUUUUUGUAGCUAUCAGUCUGCUCUUGCUUGAAGAACAGUUGCUUCCAUGGGGGCUUCCUCCUUAUUCCACCAUGACCUGUUUCUUCAUUAAAAUUGAAAAGGAUAUUGCAUGAGAUCUAACUCUGAAAUGACUGCUUGAUGUGAACUCUGAAAUUUGCUUUACAACUAAUACAUGGUAGGUAAACGUCAGUGUCAUGUUUGGGGCUAAUGAUAUACGACCAUGUGCCUAACAAUAUUUCUAUCCAGUGGUAUUGAAGUUUACAUCGAAAAUGACAUCAUGCAGAUAUUACAUUUACAUGUUGAAUAAAUGAUCUAUGCUUAAUGAGGGAAGGUCUAAAGUUACAUGCUAUAUAUGGUGAUGUCUUUUUGAGACAGGCAUGGCAUUCGACAGCUUCGAAGCGGUUGGGCGGAUGGGCCAGCAUAUGUGACUCAGUGUCCCAUACAAACUGGCCAAAGCUACGUUUACAACUUCACCAUUAUAGGCCAAAGAGGGACUCUCUUCUGGCAUGCCCAUAUAUCAUGGCUAAGAGCCACUCUUUAUGGUCCCAUUAUCAUUCUUCACAAGCGUGGCAUACCUUACCCUUUUGCUAAGCCUUACAAGGAAGUUCCCAUUGUCUUCGGUAACGAAAUCAUCAAUGAACCGAUCCAUUAAGAUUCUACAUUUAUUUUGAUAACUCAAAUUGACAUGAACCCCUUUAUGAUAAAAUUGCAGGAGAGUGGUUCAAUUCAGAUCCUGAGGCUGUAAUUAGCCAGGCACUCCAGACUGGUGGGGGUCCAAAUGUCUCUGAUGCUUAUACCAUCAAUGGUCUCCCCGGACCACUUUAUAACUGCUCAGCCAAAGGUAAUAAAUAGCUAAAAUUUUGUCUUAAGCUUUAGACAUACACACACAUGCACACAUACAUUAUAGAGCUAUGGGAUUCACUUGUGGACUGACAACUUUGACAGAUACAUUCAAGCUGAAGGUGAAGCCUGGCAAAACUUACCUUCUGCGUUUAGUCAAUGCGGCACUCAAUGACGAGCUCUUCUUCAGCAUAGCAAAUCACACACUAACUGUUGUUGAUGUUGAUGCCGUUUAUGUUAAACCAUUCAAGACUGAAACUCUUCUCAUCACCCCUGGUCAAACCACAAAUGUGAUCCUUAAGACCAAACCAAGCUAUCCAAAUGCCACUUUUUUCAUGACGGCUAGACCAUAUGUGACAGGCCAAGGAACAUUCGAUAAUUCAACUGUUGCCGGUAUUUUAGAAUACGAGUCACCACCCAAUAGCCUUCAUUCAAGCAUAAUGUUGCCCUUGUUUAAACCAAUUCUACCUGCUUUGAACGACACUUCCUUUGCUACAAAAUUCGGGAGUAAACUCCGUAGCUUGGCCAGUGCACAAUAUCCUGCCAAUGUGCCUCAGAAGGUUGAUAAGCAUUUUUUCUUCACUGUUGGUCUCGGAACCAGCCCAUGCCAGCAUAACCAAACCUGCCAAGGACCUAAUGGAACCAAGUUCUCAGCUUCAGUGAAUAAUGUAUCGUUUGCAAUGCCAACUUCAGCAUUACUCCAGGCUCAUUUCUUCGGCCAAUCUAACGGAGUUUACACCCCUGAUUUUCCUAGCACUCCUAUAACUCCAUUUAACUAU
rnacentral:lncRNA from 1 species